AACAUAGUGUAAGAAAGCUACAAGAACAAAUUUGGACCACGAAAGCGGAUGUGGCCACUGGCCAAACACGUCCUCAACUUGGCCCACUCAAGGUACUAAAUAUUAGCCGAUAUGUAUCUAAAUUUUGACAUUUUGAUAUGAAUAUUUUAGUAAAUAUCAAUCCAGACAGUCUGAUAUAAGCCGAUACAAGGCUAUAUUACCGAUACAAUUACUGAUACUGCGAUUUAGGCUGUCCAUUUAACCAACUCUAUAAUUGAAAAAGAGGAGAAGAAGAAAAAAAAACGUAAAAGAAUAGUGGCAAUGCUGUUAUGUCUAGAAGUUCACUCAAAGGGAGAGAACACAAGAAAUUUCCAUCUCCAUCGCAGAACCUAUUUCUUUGAUGGCAUAUCUACACUAAGUUCUAUAGUAAAGUGUUUUGAGUUCACACCUCUUUAGAGUUUCUGAAAAAUAAAAAUGCCACCUGGCUUUUUUUUAGAUCUCCUCUCUCAUAAGAAAGAAUUGCUAAAUAAUGAACUAAAAAUAAAACACUACGUGGAUGUUUGAUAACUGUUUUAUUUUAAUUUUUUUAUUUUUAUUUUGUUUAAUUUAUAAAUAAAAAUAGAAAACUUGUUUGUGUUGCAAAAAAUAAAUAAAAAUAAAGCAAAAUUAAUUGCACUAUUUUUGAAAAUAGUAAAAACAAGAAAAAGUUAUUUUUGUUUUGUUUACAAAAAAAUUUGGAUGAAUUUUUUUUGUAAAUUUUUCCAAUCACCUCAACCGCCUCCGCCUCCGCCUCCUUCACCACCACCACCACCGCCGCCGCCACCAUCUUUUUUUAAAAUAAUUUAAAAAUAGGUGAACACAAAUAUAUUUUUGUGUAAAAAUAAUUUAAAAAUAGGUGAACACAAACAUAUUUUUAGUUUCUGUUUUACAAAAAACAAAACAAAAGAAAAUAAAAAUUAAACAAAUACAAAAAAAAAUAGAAAAGUAAAAGUAAGAAAAGUUAUUUUUGUUUUGUUUAAAAAAAAAAAAUUCAUCCAAAUUUUUUCAAUCACCUCCGCCAUCACCUUCGCCACCACCAGCGCCACUUUCAUCUCCGCUACCAUCACCUCCUCCACCGCCACCGCUACUUUUUUUUUUAAAUAGUUUCAGAAAAUGUGAACACAAAUAUAUUUUUAUUUUUAAAUAUUUUAAAAAUAGGUGAACACAAACAUAUUUUUUAUUUUUAUUUUAUAAAAAACAAAACAAAACAAAAAUUAAAUAAACACAAAAAAUAGAAAAAUAAAAACGUUAUCAAACAUCCUCUACGUGUUCCAAACCAGUCAAAUCGCUACGCAUCCGAAUGACCCAUAGUCAAUUUCUAGGGUUUUCAUUUCAGCUGCAUACCCAUGGGUGAAUGGAUGAUCUAAGAGAUGUGAAUGGCUCGGGUUUUCAUUUCUCGGGGUUAUCGGCUUGAAUUUUUUGCUUUUUAUUAACCAGGUUAUUAGAUUUAUUUUGAUUGUCAUGUUUUUUAUUUCUUAUUUUCCAGCUGUGUAUUAUAACUGAGUUAUGUAUAUUUUGCUGAAAUGAAGAAAUGAACAACAUCUGAAAUGAAGAAAUGAACAACAUUAGAAGAAUAUGGAACAUGUUGAAUUUGUAGAGUCCAUGAGCCAGGUCCCUUUUCAUGGACUGGGGCUAGAUCCAUUUUCUCUGCUACUCAUUCUGCAGGUGGAGUUCACCAUAUAAAUAAAUAAUUAAGGCCCCGUUUGGCCCAAAAAAGUUUUUGAGAUAUUUUAGUUGCUUUGAUUUUUGAGAUUUUUUCGCUUCUAGUAAAUUUUUUUAAUCGUUUGAUCAAAAUUUUAUAUUUUGUUGUUCUUUUUAACGAGAAAAGUCUGAAAAUAUAAAAAUCUUUAUCUAAUUUAGAAAGAUGUUCACGAAAGUGAAAAAAGUAACACUUUUUUACUUGAUAAAUUAGCUAAAUUUUUAUCUUUUAAUAGAUUUCUUAUUCCAAAUUUAAACAAUCUUUUUUCAUUUUCGGAUUUUCUCGUCAAUAAGAAAAGAAAAAGUAUAUUUUUUUUCUUAAACAGAGAAAAAGUUCACAAAAAGAUGGAAAAAUUUCAAAAUCAAGCACCUAAAAAUCUAGAUUGUAUGAAUCUAUAAUAAAAACUGUUAAAACAAUUUUUAAUUAAAAAUAAUAUAUUUCUUCUUUUAAAAUGGAGAACUGGAUCGAAGAUUCUUAUAAGUAGCUUCGAACUUAUUUCAUCUAAUACCAUCAUACACAAAAAGUUACGUACAUGUUUGGCAAAAUUUUAAAGCAUCAACUUCUGCUUUUUAGUUUUAAAAUUUGUUUCAAAAUGUUUAAUAAAACUUCUGUUUAUGGAUUAAAAAUAAUUUAUAAAGCUAAAAAAGAGUUGAUUUUUGAAAGUUUUAUUUUAAAAAAUUUUAACUUCUAUUUUUAAGUAAAUAAUUUUAACAUAAGUUGAGCUAUUAUGCUAAACACACUCUAUACACAAUUUAUUGACUAUAGAACAACUAUACACACGUG
rnacentral:lncRNA from 1 species